rnacentral:pre_miRNA from 1 species
GUCAGAAUCACCUGGAGAGCUUGUUAAAACACAAAUUGCUGGGUCCUAACCGCAGUCUCUGGUUCUGCACAUCCAAGGUAGGGUCAAGAAUUUGCAUUGCUAAUAAAUUCUCAGGUGAUGCUGUG